CAACACUGCAAUAAAACAGGAAGAAGAACUGAAAAAUGCAGAACCUGCAAUACAUGAAGAAACAAUGGAAGACACUACAGCAUCAGAGACUGGAGUAAAGCAUGGGG